AUUGAACGCUAGCGGGAUGCCUUACACAUGCAAGUCGAACGGAGUGGCGAACGGGUGAGUAAUGUCUCGGAACGUGCCCAGUAGCGGGGGAUAACUAAGCGAAAGCGUAGCUAAUACCGCAUACUAUUGGAGCAGCCGAGAUCGGAUUAGCUAGUUGGUGGGUGAACUGCUCACCAAGGCGACGAUCCGUCGCUGGAUUGAGAGGACGACCAGCCACACUGGGACUGAGACACUGCCCAGCCUCCUACGGGAGGAAGCAGUGGGGAAUUUUGGACAAUGGGGGAAACCCUGAUCCAGCCAUCCCGCGUGUGGGAUGAAGGCCUUCGGGUUGUAAAGCACUUUUGGCAGGAAAGCGGUACCUGCGGAAUAAGCACCGGCUAACUACGUGCCAGCAGCCGCGGUAAUAC
rnacentral:rRNA from 1 species